rnacentral:lncRNA from 1 species
AGCUGACGUUAGGAAGACCCUAUCUAGGAUUAACCCACGCAAGGCUGCGGGUCCUGACGACAUACCUGGCCGUGUAUUGAGAGACUGUGCUGCACAGCUGACAGAUGUCCUAACAGAUAUCUUCAACACCUCGCUGAGCCAGGCAGUCGUCCCCACAUGUCUCAAAUCCACAACAAUCAUACCGGUACCAAAGAAAUCACCUGUGUCCUGUCUAAACGACUACCGUCCCAUAGCACUGACUCCAAUCAUGAUGAAGUGCUUUGAGAGGUUAGUCAUGCACAACAUCAAAACCAGCCUCCCCAACACACUCAAUCCGCUCCAGUUUGCAUACCGUCCAAACCGCUCUACAGACGAUGCAAUUUCCUCCACCCUCCACCUGGCUCUUACCCACCUAGAAAAUAAAGACUCCUAUGUUAGAAUGCUGUUCAUCGACUUCAGCUCAGCAUUCAACACAAUAAUCCCACAACAGCUCAUCAAUAAACUAAACCUGCUGGGCCUUAGCAAUUCCCUCUGUAAUUGGAUCCUGGACUUUCUAUCUGGAAGACCUCAGUCAGUCCGUGUCGGCCACAACACCUCGAGCACUACCACACUGAGCACAGGUGCCCCACAAGGCUGUGUGCUCAGCCCGCUGCUCUUCACGCUGCUGACCCACGACUGCACUGCCAAGUUCAGCUCCAACCACAUCAUCAAGUUUGCGGAUGACACAACGGUGGUAGGUCUCAUCAGCAACAGUGAUGAAACGCACUACAGAGAGGAAGUGGCAAAGCUGGCUGAAUGGUGUGGCACUAACAACCUGUCCCUCAAUGUGAGUAAGACAAAGGAGGUUGUGAUGGACUUCAGGAGAAACUCCGUUGACCACCCCCCACUGACCAUCGACAGCUCGACUGUGGAGAGAGUCAGCAGCACUAAAUUCCUGGGGGUGCACAUCACAGAGGAUCUCACCUGGACCACCAACACCAUGUCACUCUCCAAGAAGGCACAACAGCGCCUACACUUUCUCCGCCGGCUGAAAAGAGCAAGUCUCCCUCCACCCAUCCUCACCACAUUCUACAGGGGAACCGUUGAGAGUGUG